UCAGGAUGAACGCUAGCUACAGGCUUAACACAUGCAAGUCGAGGGGCAGCAUUGGGAUAGCUGCUAUUCAGAUGGCGACCGGCGCACGGGUGAGUAACGCGUAUCCAACCUUCCUGCCAGUAGGGAACAGCCCGGCGAAAGUCGGAUUAAUGCCCUAUGUUCUUCAAUGCGGACAUCUAAGUUGAAGGAAAGAUUCAUCGCUGGCAGAUGGGGAUGCGUCCGAUUAGCUUGCCGGCGGGGUAACGGCCCACCGGGGCGACGAUCGGUAGGGGUUCUGAGAGGAAGGUCCCCCACACUGGUACUGAGACACGGACCAGACUCCUACGGGAGGCAGCAGUGAGGAAUAUUGGUCAAUGGGCGUAAGCCUGAACCAGCCAAGUAGCGUGCAGGAAUGACGGCCCUACGGGUUGUAAACUGCUUUUAUGCGGGGAUAAAGUGCGGCACGUGUGCCGCUUUGCAGGUACCGCAUGAAUAAGGACCGGCUAAUUCCGUGCCAGCAGCCGC
rnacentral:rRNA from 1 species